GACGAACGCUGGCGGCGUGCCUAAUACAUGCCAGUUGAGCGCUGAAGGUUGGUACUUGUACCAACUGGAUGAGCAGCGAACGGGUGAGUAACGCGUGGGGAAUCUGCCUUUGAGCGGGGGACAACAUUUGGAAACGAAUGCUGAUACCGCAUAAAAACUUUAAACACAAGUUUUAAGUUUGAAAGAUGCAAUUGCAUCACUCAAAGAUGAUCCCGCGUUGUAUUAGCUAGUUGGUGAGGUAAAGGCUCACCAAGGCGAUGAUACAUAGCCGACCUGAGAGGGUGAUCGGCCACAUUGGGACUGAGACACGGCCCAAACUCCUACGGGAGGCAGCAGUAGGGAAUCUUCGGCAAUGGACGAAAGUCUGACCGAGCAACGCCGCGUGAGUGAAGAAGGUUUUCGGAUCGUAAAACUCUGUUGGUAGAGAAGAACGUUGGUGAGAGUGGAAAGCUCAUCAAGUGACGGUAACUACCCAGAAAGGGACGGCUAACUACGUG
rnacentral:rRNA from 1 species